UCCAGCCCAUCCUCUGCAGGUGCAGGCCUGGUGUAGUCUCCUGUCUGGACAGAGUGAGAAGAGAACAAUGCAGAAGGACACCGGCCCUCUAGUGCCUUUGCAUUGGUUUGGCUUUGGCUAUGCAGCACUGGUUGCUUCUGGUGGGAUCAUUUGCUAGGCAAAAGCAGUCCUAGAAUCUCAACCAUUUCUCCAAGGAGCCCUUGUACCUUUUAUUGGACAGUGGUAUUAGAGACCACAUCUGGGUAAGGUAAGGUUGUUGCCACUGGAAUAAAAUCUGCUUUUUUUAUUUCAUUAUUUUAUACUUUUGUCUUUAAUCUCCAUUUUACUUUUUAACUUAUAUUUGUCUAGUUUCUUAAGCUUAAGUCCUCAAAUUCAGAAUAUUUUCAGUGCUCCUUGUUUUUUUCACAAAUGGACCAGGUAUGUAAUUGUUUUCCUUGAGAUCUGUUUUGGCUGAAUAUUACCAGCUUUAAUAUAGAGUUAUAUCAUUGUCCAUUUCUAAAGAGUUUUUCAUUUCAAUUUUGAUUAAGUGUUUGGAACUAUAUUUUUGAGUUUUUAAGUGGAUGGAUUUUGGGAGCAUGCCCUUUUAUUGUUAUGUUCUAGUUUUACUACACUGUAGGAAGAGAAUAUAGCCUACAUAUUUCUACAUUUGAGUUUGAGAUUUUCUUUGUGGCCUAAUAUAGGGUUAAAUUUUUGAAAUGUACAUGUGUUUGAGAGGAAUGUGAAGAUUUUCUGUAUUGGUUAAAGUUCUAUAUGCUAUCUAUUUGAUUAAAUUAGUUAACUGUCAUUUACUUACUUUAGGUCUCUAGAUCUGUUUUCCAAGAAAAACCUCCCACUCUGAUCAUGAGUAUACCAAUGAGUAUACCAUGAGUAUACAUGAAAUAUCAUGUAUUUCUGUGUUUAUGAUAAAUCCUUGCUUUAUAUAUUUACAUUGUUUUAACAUUUUAAUUGGAAAAUUUUCAAAUCUAUAGAAAAGUUUCAACAUUAUUCAUGAGCAUCUGUAUACCCUUAACCUAGUUCACCAACUCACCAAUUGUUAACAUUAGGCACAUCCUCUCUCUUUUUCUCUCUCUGAAUACGUGUGUGUGUGUCCAAACACACAAACACAGAUGAAAAAUCCUCAACAAAAUAUUAGCAAACCAAACCAUACACCACAACCAAGGGGAUUAAUCCCAGGUAUGCAAGGCUGGUUCAACAUUUGAAAAUCAAUUAAUGUAACCAUCACAUCACCAGGCUAAAGAAGAAAAAUCAUAUGAUCACAUCAAGAGGUGCAAAAAAAGAAUAUGACAAAAAUCAAAACACCCAGCAAACUAGCAGUAGAGGUGAACUUUCUCAAUUUGAUAACAUAACUAUAAAGAACCUACGGCUAACAUCGUACUUAAUGGGGAGAAACUAGAUGUUUUCCCCACUAAAAUCAGAAACAAGGUAAGGCUAUCUACUCACCAUUCCUAUUCAUUAUACUGGAAGUCAUAGCUAAUGCAGAAAGACAGUAAAAGGGAGUAAAAGGUAUACUAUACUGAUUAGGAAGGAAGAAAUAAAAUGUUUUGCUUGCAGAUGACAUGAUUAUAGAAAAUCUGAAAGAAUCAACAAAGAAACUCCUGAACUAAUAAGUGAUUAUAGCAGAUAUUGGUAUAUAAGGUUAACAUACAAAAGUAAAUUGCUUUUUUAUACACCAGCAAUGAACAGUUGAAAUUAGAAAUUAAAAAUACGAUACUGACUGGGUGUGGUGGCUCACGCCUAUAAUUCUAGCAUUCUGGGAGGCCCA